rnacentral:rRNA from 1 species
UACAGAGACUGCGAGCGUUAUCCGGAAUGAUUGGGCGUAAAGCGUCCGCAGGUGGCUGUGUAAGUCUGCUGUCAAAGAGCGAAGCUCAACUUCGUAAAGGCAGUGGAAACUACACGGCUAGAGUGCGUUCGGGGCAGAGGGAAUUCCUGGUGUAGCGGUGAAAUGCGUAGAGAUCAGGAAGAACACCGGUGGCGAAGGCGCUCUGCUAGGCCGCAACUGACACUGAGGGACGAAAGCUAGGGGAGCGAAUGGG